UACAUGACAUGCACAGAUUGUGUGCACGGGUACAGAUCUAACUUUUUUUAGUGCUUAUGUUCAGAUUUAAUGUGCUAACUGCAGAAGUAGUUUUAAGACUGCAGUGGCCACUACAAAUAAGCCCUCUGACUGGCUUUCCAACGGUGGGAAAUGGUGACACCAUAUCAAGCACAUUACCAAAGUCAGGGAUUGCCUUAGUGGACACAUAAAAGGAUCACACCCCCACCUACAGGUGAUGAGCUCAUCUCUGUGAUUGCCUUAGUCACCCAACAACACGUCUGAGAAGCCGGCAGAGGCACAGCGGAGAGGAAGACCUGAACUGAACACAGUGGAACAAAGCACAGCGUAAACGUUGGUGAUGUCAUCACAGAGUCAAGCUGAGCACGACGGGCCGUGAUGACAACAACAACAACCUCCGUCCUCCAACCCAUGAUGACUCAUUCCAGUGUUUCACCAAGAGAAUGGACAGCCAUUAUACACAUUGUACAGCUCAGGAAUGGAAGUGGAAGCAUGAUUAUGUGCAGUCAGGAAAUGCUGGACGUUCCUGAUGAAGGUGAAAAACAAAAACGUGUUGGAACCCACCACAGGUCUGCUAUCACGGCCCCUUAAAAUGACAGUCGUUUAUCGUGGAAUAAAUAAGUGUAAGCUCAAACCAUAUGAACAUACAUACAGGACCAGUAAAUUGAAUCUUUGUUUUAUAUGCUGGUUACAGUAUUUCUGUUUCCUAUUUC